UCACGCACGAUGGUUGUUCCUCCAAGCUUUUCCGAAGGAAAGAGGUGUAUCCACGUCUCCCGGAGCUUCCGCCCUUCUCCCCCUAUCAUCACUUACUAAAACGAUGACCCCCCCUUCUUAAAUAUGAUUAGUUAAUAAUUCUUCAAUAGAAGCUGGACGUGACAGCAGUGAUUUUGCUGCAGGUCACAGGCCAACACCCGGAUGACCCAGAUACCAGGACUCUUGAUAUGUUGAUGUGAGACCAUUGCUGUUUCACACCUAGUCUAACGACUGGAUGAGCCUGAAAGCAAACAACUCUGAAGGCCAAACUAAGUUUUCUUCCGGUUACACAACAAUGCCAAUGGAGGGCGAAAAAAACAAAAAACAAUGCCAAUGGAGGUGGAACGCUUGAAUGUGGAUCUUCAGCUCAUCAACAUUGAACAACAAAUGUUGAUCAUACAAAUCUUGAGGCGCAAGCGACACAGAAGACAGUUUCGGAGGUGGUCUGUCCGACUGUUGAUGCCGCACGGAGACAUCUAGCCUCGAGUGGAAGCCAGCAAGCUGUGGUGGCUAGCUUCAAACUGGCGUCGAGCACUGUGUCCAGCGUUUUGUCCAAGGUCUGCAAAGCAUUGUGGACAGCACUGCAGCCCAUUUUUUUUUGCUGUGUCCUACAACCAGCC